UCUCCUGUCCUCAAUAGAUGACUUCCAGCGGAGUAGGCGACGUCAACAUACCCAGCUGGGCAUCCUCAGACAAAUUUAUAGCAGUUUAACAGAACAGCAAGUUACAGUGUCCAAGAAAUACCAACGAUUUGCAAAAUAGAAUAAACACCGCAAAAUGUUAUACUUAUUUAAAAAAAUUUGGUCGGUUGUCCGAGUGACCUCGACAACUCAGUCAAAAACAAGAAUGAACGCUAUAGUCGACGGCCUCGAAUAUUACAUACCCGUUACUCAACUAAAGGAAGUGGAAGGGAGAAGGAGAUAUGCAGCAUUUCGGCUGUUUCCGAGAUUAAACACUUUGUUUGCCAAAACCCAUCUUUCUAGCUUUUAUAGUUCCCGAGAUCUCGGCGCUCAUACGAACGGUCAGGCAGAACCUAUAAAAAAUUGAAGUUUUCUUAUUUAAUUAGAUAUAACCGGAUAUACAUACAUAAAUAUACACAGAGUUAUACAAGUUG